GCCAGGAGCUUAAGGGAGGGAGGAAGAGGACCCAGCGUGGGCAGGGUGGCGUGGGGAUUCCCAAGCUGAGGGUUUCAUCAGGCUUCAGAGAGGAUGGGGUUUCUCUUUGGUUGAGAGUCUGAUGCAGCCAUUAUUCCCUUAGGAAAAUUCCAUGCUCUCUCCGGCUAAUGAAGUCCACCACGUCCACCUCCUCGCUUCCUGAUGUGUGUUAGGAAAUAGAGCUGGGUGUCCUGGUGUCCCAAGAGGCAGCUAGCAGUAGGAGCAGAUGACUCUGGAUCCCUCUGCCUAGGUUCUAACCCCAGCUCUGUUCCUAGAAGCAGCAGAGCAACCGUGGGUAAGUUCCUUGAUUCUCUGUGCCUCAGUUUCCUCUCCUGUGUAGUGGAGACGAUAAAGGUGCUUUGCAGUACCAUUGCGUUCAACAAGUUGAUAUAAGACUCCAGACUGGGCCUGGCACAGGAUACGGAUCACAUAAACAUUUGCCACCAGCACUAGUCAUUAACCAACAUGCCUACAGCUCUUAUUCUAGUGUAUGAGCUUUUCAAAAAAUUUUGGAACACUUGACAUGAGAUCUAUCCUUUUAACAAAUUUUUUGGUGUACAAUGCAUUCUUGCUGACUAUAGACACAGUGUUGUGUAGAAGAUCAAUAGAUCGUACUCAACUUAGUUUACUGAAAACUUGAACUUGUGGAAUAGCUGCUCCUAUGAGUCGAACUGUGUUAGAGCCUUAUGCACAUAGAAUCACGAAAAUCUCUGUCCUUCGGUGAUGGGCUUAUUUAACUUUGCAAAUGUCCUUCAAGCUCAUCCAUGUUGUCACAUAUUGCAGAAUUUCCCUUCUCUUCUUUUUUAAAGCUGAGGUUGAUUAUAGAGAGAGCACAUUCUUAUAUGUCACAUUUUAUUUUAUAUCACAUUUUUAUCUCCAUUCAUCUGCUGAUGGAUGCUUGAGCUCUUUCCACCUUGUGGCUACAUGAACAAUGCCACAGUGAACACUGGAGAGCAGGCAUCUCUGAGAGAUCCUGUCUUGGAUUCUUUUGGAUAAAUACCCAGAAGCAAGAUUGCGAGAUCAUAUGGUAGUUCUAUUUUUAAUUUUUCGAGGAAUCUCCCUACUGUGUUCCACAGUGGCUGCACCAUGUACAUACCCACCAGCCGUGCAAGGGUUCCAGUUCCUGUGUCCAAGUGGGGUCAGCCUGUGCAGGGACCGUCCUAUCUGUGGGAUGUACCUGGGGCAAAAACAACUCCCUCCCUAUCUAGUCCUUUUCAGAGUGUCUGCUGGUGCCCAGGAGCGGCCCCAGCGCCUGCUCAGUGGUGGUGUCUCCAGCUGGUCAGGUUGAGAGGAUUCCUUGGCUGCCCUGAGGGCAGCUUUUCAGUACAUGGGUCAUAGAGAGAAGCCAGGCAGGAUGUUUGGGGGUGGACAGGGGAGGCGUGGGAAGGGCCAAGUGGCUUGGAAGGACCCCUCAGCUGAAACUGGAGUCGGAAUGUGGUCUAGGAGGCUGGGCCUCUGGAGGAGGUCAUGUGGCUGAGCCCAACCACCCGCCAGUGGCUAGGAAUAAUUCCCUCCUGUCUUAGCUUCUAUUCUUGGCCUGUGCAACUUAGGGCAAGAGACAGCCUGACCCGCAGGAAAGGAUGUGCGGGCUGGGAGUCACCCAGUCAUGGGUUCAAUUCCCGGCUCUGCUGCUUAACCAGACGUGGGACUCAGGCAAGACAUGGAGCCUCUGGUGGCCCCCCAUCUUGGGGCUGACAUGAGUGGUAUAGAGGCAAUGCUGAGUUCUGUCCCCAAGUCCCACCUCUCUGAUAUCACGGUUUUGACUUCCAAAGUUGUCUCUUAAGAAACCCAGGGCUUUCUAGAUGAGCCCAAGACCUCCUGGCAGGGAUGGGGACUCCCUGAGCAGGGCAGGGCAGCAGAGGACAGCAGCUGGUCAGGAGCAUCCGCUCUGGAGCAGCCCCCCACCCCCGAUCAGGGGCACGCCCACUGUGAGAUGGAAACGUUGAACCACAGGAAGGAAAGAUGACUCGCUCGCGCUGUUUUGGCUUUUUUUUUUUAGAUAGGUGAGUUAUUCCUCUGAAUGAAGGAAUGACUGUGGGUUCGAGGUAAAGAUAAAAUUCGGAUCCAAAAUGACUUCUUGUUCCACCUCCCACCAGGUCCUAUUUCCGAUGGAGAAGACCUAACCCGGAAGCAGACCCUCCCUGUUGUCCUACCCCUGAAGUCCCAGCCUCUGUGCCUCGGGACUGGCUUCCUUCUCUUUUCUACUUGAAGGCUGUCCCCUUACUGGGCACCAAACUCUGCUUGGCUGACUCCUCCCCAUCUCCCGAAGCUCCUUCUCCCUGCUAGGAAGUCCUCAGGAGUGUCUGGUGACCCUCUGUGCACCCUCAUCCGUGGCUGCAGCAGGACAUUCUAACCCAUGACUCCCAGGUGUCUAGCCUUGGUCUCUCACCUUACCAGGGCUGUGCUUCUUUCUGCUCCCACGUGGCAUGGGUCCUUGCCCUCCUGACCUCCUGGUAGGCCCCAGUGGGACAGAGCCAACAUGGGGACCCUGGUCCUACUGAUUUCAAAGCUUUCCUGGGCUCCCCUCAGCCCCUUGCUGCACACAGGAGAAAACAGCCCCUCAGCCUGGAAUUCGUGGCUCCUGACUUGGCCCUGCCUGGACCUUUGGCCUGCUUUUCCCCAGCAAAGUCCAGGUGCUGAUUCCCAGCACACCACAACCAUCCUCUCCCCGUCUUCCCAGAAGGCUGCCCGACUCCUCCUCUUCCCCGAUCAUGGCCACCACAUGAUCUCUCCCUGGUCAAGGCCUCUCCAGCUCUCACGGACUCUCUCACUUCUGGGGAAUGCUUGGGACUCAACAUGUUCCCACUCCUGUACUCCUCCUUCCCAGCCUGUGGGAAGCCCUGGUGGUCAGGGAUGGGAGAGAGCUUAGGAGGGAUAGUCCUUCUGUCCAUCCUGGGAGAACCAGAGGCGUUAAUGGAUGGGUGAAGUCUGCAAACCAAAAGCACCAUCCUGCCUUAUCCUGGUCCCUUUACCUCUGACCUAGAGUCACACCCCAGCCCUCACAGGGUCCUCCUGUCUCCCAGUUCACCUGACCCAUCUAGUGUCCCACUCAAUGUCACACCCACCUAACAGGCUCCCUUAUCUAGCAGCUUCUCCUGCCAGUAGGGUCCUGCCCCAGGGUGGCAGGCCCUGCUCCUAGACCCUGCCUGGGCCCUCCCACCUACCUUCCUUGGUUCAGGCCAUGUCCUCCCCAGAUCCUCUCUGCCUCCACUUCUCAUCCUCCUUCCAGAGACUGAGUCCUCCAGGCAGGACCAACCCCUCAGGGGCCCCUUGCUGUCCAUCUCUGUGUGCUGGCACCGAUCUGGUGUUAUAACAUUCCUGCUGCAAGUGCCCCUGUGGCUUUCAAUUUGGACUUGACAUAGACAAAUGCUGCAGUGACAUUUUCUCCUGGUGGAUGGUGUUGAGUCUGAGGAUGUUCUAUGGGCCAGACCUGGCACCUUCAAAUCGUCAGUUUAUUCAGGCCCAGCCAUGGUCCUAAGUGUCUGUCACUUCCUCUGUGGUAGGGCUAAGGCCCAGAGAUGCUAAGCGCCUUGCUUGAGUUCACAUGGCAACAUGGGACAGCGCCAACGUGGGGACCCUGGUCCUACUGAUUCCAAAGCUUUCCUCCAUGUUGCACGCCAGUGAUAGAAGCCAAAAUUGUGGACCUCUCUCUAAAGUUCAACUGUCAAUAAAUUGCCUUGGGGAUUUUGUCUAUCUUUUUGUAACCCAUUUUCCCCCCACAUCUCCCAUGGGUGCUUGCCAUCAUCCCUGGCAAGCAGCUGACUGGCGUAUGAGGGCCCAUG
rnacentral:lncRNA from 1 species